UACAGAGGUCUCAAGCGUUGUUCGGAUUCAUUGGGCGUAAAGGGUGCGUAGGUGGCGCCGUAAGUCGGGUGUGAAAUUUCGGAGCUUAACUCCGAAACUGCAUUCGAUACUGCGGUGCUUGAGGACUGGAGAGGAGACUGGAAUUCACGGUGUAGCAGUGAAAUGCGUAGAUAUCGUGAGGAAGACCAGUGGCGAAGGCGGGUCUCGUGGACAGUUCCUGACGCUGAGGCGCGAAGGCCAGGGGAGCAAACGGG
rnacentral:rRNA from 1 species